AAAUAAAACGGUGUGUCUAAUAUAUGAAACAACUUCCUCAUAGCUAUUCAAAUGGGUUCAAGAAGAGGCUGCCUGACCUUUUGGCUCAAUUCACUUGUGCCACAAAUGAUUUCUUUGAAAACCUGGGCAUUGUUCAAAAGGCUGGCAAAACGCCUUCAAAACGCCUCUUCCACAAAGAAAAGAGGCAACCACUUCCUCGUGCCUCACAAAGAUUGUCAGACGGACUCGCUGAACUGAAUCUUGUCACACCAGAGCACAGUCUGUGUUCUGUCAUCUGAAACAAAAUAAUGCUGUUCCUAUUAUUUUGUGGUGGAUGUUUUGCAUUGUCUGCAGGGCAAACCUUUGCUCCAACACCUUCAAUGGGACAAGUGAACAGCACAAUACAGGUAACAACACCUCCAGCUCCUUCAACUCCAUAUGUGGACCCACCUUUUGGUACUGAAGCAGCAACAAGUGGAUUUGCAAUUCUUCGAACAGCUGUCACUUCUUAUCAGGAGAUAAAUGAGACUACAGUUGAUCCAGUCUUGAGUCAGCUCUAUGACAUCAUUGGUGCGCAGCAACCUGAUCUGGACUUUCAGCUGACUGUGAAAACUGUCCAGAAGGUUUGAUGGAUUAUGAUUCAAUGCAUAACAGCGUUCCCAGUUGUCUUGAAAGCACCAUAAAUCCAGAGAAUGCC